UGUUUGCAUGCUUUUCACAUGAUGUUAUGAUGGUUUAAGGAGGUAUACAAGUUGUAACGAGGUAUGGAAAGGUGCUGGAUUAGGCACUCAUAUAUUGGAGGGACAUAGAGAUUGAUGAUUUUUUUUUCAUUCACGAUUUUGGCUAUCUUGUUGGCUUCCGCUUGAUUUCUGAGACUGGAUUGAGAAUAUGGUGUAUCAAUGUUAUGUUACGAUGACAAUUGAAGAAUAGUGUUGCAUCCCUCUAGUUUCAUUUAGAGGAUGUCAUUUUUGGGUCUUUUGAAGAGUUUUUGAAA
rnacentral:sRNA from 1 species